rnacentral:rRNA from 1 species
AGAGUUUGAUCAUGGCUCAGAACGAACGUUAGCGGCGGCUUAACACAUGCAAGUCGAGCGAGAAAGGGGCAACCCCGGUAAAGCGGCGCACGGGUGAGUAACACGUAGAUAAUCUACCCCCAGGUGGUGGAUAACCUUCCGAAAGGAGGGCUAAUACAGCAUAAGACCACGGGUCCGCAAGGGCUUGAGGUCAAAGCCGGCCUCUUCACGAAAGCUGGCGCCAGGGGAUGAGUCUGCGGCCCAUCAGCUAGUUGGUAGGGUAACGGCCUACCAAGGCGAAGACGGGUAGCUGGUCUGAGAGGAUGAUCAGCCACACUGGAACUGAGACACGGUCCAGACUCCUACGGGAGGCAGCAGUGGGGAAUCUUGCGCAAUGGGCGAAAGCCUGACGCAGCGACGCCGCGUGAGUGAUGAAGGCCUUCGGGUUGUAAAGCUCUGUGGAGGGGGACGAAUAAGUCGUGGCCAACAUCCACGAUGAUGACGGUACCCCUUUAGCAAGCACCGGCUAACUCUGUGCCAGCAGCCGCGGUAAGACAGAGGGUGCAAACGUUGUUCGGAAUUACUGGGCGUAAAGCGCGUGUAGGCCGCUCCAAAAGUCGGAUGUGAAAGCCCUGGGCUCAACCUAGGAAGUGCAUUCGAAACUGCGGAGCUUGAGUCCUGGAGAGGAAGGCGGAAUUCUCGGUGUAGAGGUGAAAUUCGUAGAUAUCGAGAGGAACACCGGUGGCGAAGGCGGCCUUCUGGACAGUGACUGACGCUGAGACGCGAAAGCGUGGGGAGCAAACAGGAUUAGAUACCCUAGUAGUCC